AGGACGAACGCUGGCGGCGUGCUUAACACAUGCAAGUGGAGCGACGAACCGGGGCUUGCCCCGGGGCAGAGCCGCGAACGGGUGAGUAACACGUGGGUAACCCACCCCGAUGACCGGGACAACCCGAGGAAACUCGGGCUAAUACCGGAUGUGCUCCUCGACCUUGAGGUCAAGGCGUAAAGAUAGCUUCGGCCUUCGCAUCGGGACGGGCCCGCGGCCCAUUAGCUUGUUGGUGGGGUAAAGGCCUACCAAGGCAACGAUGGGUAGCUGGUCUGAGAGGACGAUCAGCCACACUGGGACUGAGACACGGCCCAGACUCCUACGGGAGGCAGCAGUGGGGAAUUGUUCGCAAUGGGCGCAAGCCUGACGACGCAACGCCGCGUGGAGGACGAAGAUCUUCGGGUCGUAAACUCCUGUCGAGUGGGAAGAAUGCUUCGGGGAUGAAUAUUCCCGGAAUUGACGGUACCACUAAAGGAGCCCGGCUAACUCCGUGCCAGCAGCCGC
rnacentral:rRNA from 1 species